GACGAACCGUGCAAACGUUGUUCGGAAUCACUGGGCUUAAAGGGCGCGUAGGCGGUCGAUCACGUCCGGGGUGAAAUCUUUCGGCUUAACCGGAAAAGGGCCUUGGAUACGGAUCGGCUGGAGGGAGGUAGGGGCAGGUGGAACUUCCAGUGGAGCGGUGAAAUGCGUUGAUAUUGGAAGGAACGCCGGUGGCGAAAGCGAGGUCCUGGACAGUUACUGACACUGAGGCACGAAGGCCAGGGGAGCAAACGGG
rnacentral:rRNA from 1 species